rnacentral:sRNA from 1 species
GCGAAAUCGUAGGCAGUCCGACCCGGG